rnacentral:rRNA from 1 species
GUCGGCCGUUCCCCGGUCGGGGACGAGGGUGACGAGGUGGUGCAUGGUUGUCGUCAGCUCGUGUCGUGAGAUGUUGGGUUAAAGUCCCGCAACGAGCGCAACCCUCGACCUUAGUUGCCAGCAUUCAGUUGGGCACUCUAAGGUGACUGCCGGCUAAAAGUCGGAGGAAGGUGGGGAUGACGUCAAAUCAUCAUGCCCCUUAUGACCUGGGCUACACACGUGCUACAAUGGGCGGUACAAAGGGUCGCGAACCCGCGAGGGGGAGCCAAUCCCAAAAAGCCGCUCUCAGUUCGGAUUGCAGGCUGCAACUCGCCUGCAUGAAGCCGGAAUCGCUAGUAAUCGCGGAUCAGCAUGCCCGCGGUCGAAUACGUUCCGGCCUU